rnacentral:lncRNA from 1 species
GGGGAUCGGGACUGGGUUAUGGGGACAGCCGAGAUUGGGGGGAUCGGGACUGGGUUAUGGGGACCCCCGAGAUUGGGGGGACCGGGAUUGGGUUAUGGGGACAGCCGAGAUUGGGGGAUCGGGACUGGGUUAUGGGGACACACGGAGAUUGGGGGGACCGGGACUGGGUUAUGGGGACAGCCGAGAUUGGGGGGACCGGGACUGGGUUAUGGGGUCACCCGACACUGGGGGGAUCGGGAUUGGGUUAUGGGGACACCCGAGAUUGGGGGGAUCGGGAUUGGGUUAUGGGGUCACCCGAGAUUGGGGGGAUUGGGAUUGGGUUAUGGGGACCCCCGAGAUUGGGGGGAUCGGGACUGGGUUAUGGGGACCCCCGAGAUUGGGGGGAUCGGGACUGGGUUAUGGGGACCCCCGAGAUUGGGGGGACCGGGAUUGGGUUAUGGGGACAGCCGAGAUUGGGGGAUCGGGACUGGGUUAUGGGGACAGCCGAGAUUGGGGGGGAUCGGGAUUGGGUUAUGGGGACAGCCGAGAUUGGGGGGAUCGGGACUGGGUUAUGNNNNNNNNNNUAUGGGGACAGCCGAGAUUGGGGGGAUCGGGACUGGGUUAUGGGGACAGCCGAGAUUGGGGGGAUCAGGAUUGGGUUAUGGGGACCCCCGACACUGGGGGGACCGGGACUGGGUUAUGGGGACACACGGAGACUGGGGGGAUCGGGGCCACGGUUAUGGGGACACGGAGAUGUCACGGGGAUCGGGGACCGCGGUUAUGGGGACACGGAGAUGUCACGGGGCUCUGAGGCUGCUGCAGGCUCCUGCAGGUGCCGUGACCUGUGGCUGCUGGAGGACACCAGUGGAUGCUGAGGGCUGUGGCUAACAGGGGCCACCAGCGGAUGCCGGGGUCCGUGGCUAGGGGGGAGCAGUGGCUGCGGCGGGACAAGGAAAUUCUGGGCACUCCCCAGCUGCGCAAUGUUUCCUGGCUGGUAGAUGUCAGGGUCCAUGGCUGCGGGGG